GACGUAGGGUGCGAGCGUUGUCCGGAUUUAUUGGGCGUAAAGAGCUCGUAGGCGGUUUGUCGCGUCUGCUGUGAAAACCCGAGGCUCAACCUCGGGCCGCAGUGGGUACGGGCAGACUAGAGUGCGGUAGGGGAGAUUGGAAUUCCUGGUGUAGCGGUGGAAUGCGCAGAUAUCAGGAGGAACACCGAUGGCGAAGGCAGAUCUCUGGGCCGAUACUGACGCUGAGGAGCGAAAGCGUGGGGAGCGAACAGG
rnacentral:rRNA from 1 species